rnacentral:rRNA from 1 species
AUUGAACGCUGCGGCAGGCUUAACACAUGCAAGUCGAGCGAGCGGCGGACGGGUGAGUAAUGCUUAGGAAUCUGCCUCUUAGUGGGGGACAACUACUCGAAAGGGAUGCUAAUUCCGCAUACCAAUAGAUGAGCCCAAGUCGGAUUAGCUAGGUGGUGGGGUAAAGGCCUACCAAGACGACGAUCUGUAGCGGGUCUGAGAGGAUGAUCCGCCACACUGGGACUGAGACACGGCCCAGACUCCUACGGGAGGCAGCAGUGGGGAAAAUUGGACAAAGGGGGGAACCCUGAUCCAGCCAUGCCGCGUGUGUGAAGAAGACCUUAUGGUUGUAAAGCACUUGAAGCGAGGAGGCGUUACUCGCAGAAUAAGCACAGGCUAACUCUGUGCCAGCAGCCGCGGUAAUUC